GUGAGGAAUAUUGGUCAAUGGAGGCAACUCUGAACCAGCCAUGCCGCGUGCAGGAAGACGGUCCUAUGGAUUGUAAACUGCUUUUAUUUAGGAAUAAACCCCCGGUCGUGCACCGGGGCUGAAUGUACUAAAAGAAUAAGCACCGGCUAACUCCGUGCCAGCAGCCGCGGUAAUACGGAGGGUGCAAGCGUUAUCCGGAAUCAUUGGGUUUAAAGGGUCCGCAGGCGGGUAAAUAAGUCAGAGGUGAAAUCCGGCAGCUCAACUGUCGCACUGCCUUUGAUACUGUUUAUCUUGAAUUUUAGUGGAGUGGGCGGAAUAUGUCAUGUAGCGGUGAAAUGCUUAGAUAUGACGUGGAACACCGAUAGCGAAGGCAGCUCACUAACUAUGAAUUGACGCUCAUGGACGAAAGCGUGGGUAGCAAACAGGAUUAGAAACCCCUGUAGUCC
rnacentral:rRNA from 1 species